AAUUGAGUGGCUAAGCGGUUAAGGCGGAGGAUUUAAAUAUUUUCUUAAUCUCCUCUUCUCGAGAGAGAGAGUGUAGGUUCGAACUCUACCUCUAUUA
rfam:Thielavia terrestris NRRL 8126 chromosome 2, complete sequence.